AUUUGUACCAGAUGCUUUAUUUGUGAGUUCUGUCAAAAAGAGCAUCUUAUACAAAUGG
rfam:Monodelphis domestica chromosome X, whole genome shotgun sequence.